rnacentral:rRNA from 1 species
GGCGUGAAAGCUCCGGGCUUAACCCGGAGAGUUCGUUCAAUACUGUCGAACUAGAGGACAUCAGAGGAGCAUGGAAUUUCCGGUGUAGCGGUAAAAUGCGCAGAUAUCGGAAGGAACACCAGUGNCGAAGCCGGUGCUCUGGGGUGGGCCUGACGCUGAGAGACGAAAGCUGGGGGAGCGAACAGGAUUAGAGACCCUGGUAGUCCUAGCCCUAAACGAUGGAUGCUAGGUGUGGGNCCGAGAAGGCUCUGUGCCGCAGUUAACGCGCUAAGCAUCCCGCCCGGGGAUUACGGCCGCAAGGCUAAAACUCAAACGAAUUGACGGGGCCCCGCACAAGCAGCGGAGCGUGUGGUUUAAUUCGAUGCUACACGAAGAACCUUACCUGGGUUUGACAUGUACGUGGUAGAGAAGCGAAAGCGGAUCGACCCUUCGGGGAGCGUACACAGGUGCUGCAUGGCUGUCGUCAGCUCGUGCCGUGAGGUGUCGGGUUAAGUCCCGUAACGAGCGCAACCCUUGCCCUUAGUUACAAGUGUCUAAGGGGACUGCCGGCGGUAAGCCGGAGGAAGGUGGGGAUGACGUCAAGUCAGCAUGGCCCUUAUAUCCAGGGCUACACACACGCUACAAUGGUCAGUACAAAGGGCAGCGAAGCCGCGAGGUGAAGCGAAUCCCAACAAAGCUGAUCUAAGUUCGGAUUGCAGGCUGCAACUCGCCUGCAUGAAGUUGGAGUUGCUAGUAACCGCGCGUCAGCUAUAGUGCGGUGAAUACGUUCCACGGGGCUUGUACACACCGCCCGUCACGUCAUGGGAGUCGGUAACGCCUGAAGCUGGUAGUCUGGCCCGCAAGGGGGACGCCAUCAAAGGCGGGGCUGGCAACUGGGACGAAGUC